rnacentral:rRNA from 1 species
UACGUAGGUGGCAAGCGUUGUCCGGAUUUACUGGGCGUAAGGCGUAUGCAGGCGGAUACUUAAGUAGGAAGUGAAAGGUGGGAGCUCAACUCCCACAUUGCUCCCUAUACUGGGUGUCUUGAGUGGCGGAGAGGGAGAUGGAACGACACGUGUAGCGGUGAAAUGCGUUGAUAUGUGUCGGAACACCAAUGGCGAAAGCAAUCUCCUGGACGCAAACUGACGCUGAGAUACGAAAGCCAAGGUAGCAAACAGG